UACAGUCUGUCACUACUGUAGCUAAAGCUGAAACUUUGGCCUAGGGCCAGUAACUCUCUUUUUUUUUUUUCUUUUUUUUUGUCAUUUGAUUAUAUCUGACCAGUCCCUAAAAAACAGAUCUUCCAAAGGGCAGGACUACUGCUCGCCCGUUUGUGGGGAGUUGGUUUUUCCGUCUUUCUUGCCCAGCCCAUUGGACCUUUCUCUGAACGAAAUCGCAGUCCUUCUGAAGAAGCAAGUAUGGUGCGUCCUCUCCUGGGUUGAAUACCCAGACACUGCAGUCCCGGAAGUGUCACUGAGGACAAUUAUGAUUCCAGCUUAAGUGUCCAGCUAAAACCAGCAAUGGAGGAUUCCCUGAGCGAUGGCUGCAGGGCACCGUUGCUGGCCCGAUUCAGUAACUUUAUAUCAACAUUCCUGUCUCCAGACGUGGGUUAAAUAUGUCUGCACCCGAACCAGCAAAAGGAAAAGAAAAACAAAAAAACAACAAACAAAAAAAGGCAUCCUCCUGCAUGUUUUCCCUGAGUCAUGUACCUUUUGUGUGUUUUGAUUGAUUUUUAUUAUGUGGGUUAAUCGCAACAUUGGGGAUAUAUUCUCCUUUUAUGUAUUCGUGAUCAACAAUGCAAAGAUGUAGUACAGAUUUUAAGCAUUAUGCAUAAUGGUUACAGGGGAAGAAUCAGCAUCCUUGCCUCCUGGCACUCUAACAUGUCCGCAACCAAAACCAACACAUUAAGAAAAAAGGUUUCCUGCUCCAUGCGUGUGUUUUCUUGAAUCAUCCAUUCUGAUCAGCUUUUAUGUGUGGGUGUUGGCAAGGUCAUGACAUUGGGGAUGUUUUCUACUUUUUCACAUUUGUAAUGAAUAACAUGUAGGUAUAUUAGGGACUCUAAGCCUUGAUGAUGCACAAUUUUUGAAUUAAACAUCAAAACAACACAAAACAUUUUGCGAUGGACCAGAGGAACCGUACUGCUCAUCUCUGUUUACAGACUCCACAGGUGGCUCUUGAAGGCCUAACCAUCUUUGAGAAGAAUGUCUUCCACUUACCACACCCAAACAGUUCAAACAGUUUCGAUGUGUUUAUAUUUUCUUUGCAUAUUCUUGACAGAGUUUUGCUAAGGCUGAGAGUCCCCUCUUUCCAGUAAGGUACUAAUGGCUAGGUAUUUUUAUUUGUUUUUAAGCUUUGCUAGUAUAAUUCUAUGUUAGCCAUGUAUGCCACAAUGUAUAGCGUAGCUGUAGAAAUGCAUUGUUUCCUUGUGGUAAGUGAUUGAGAUGCUGCCACGGAUUUGAGACACUGAUGAAUGGUGCUAUUUUGGAAUUUUUAAAAUCGGCUCCUUGGAAAGGUAGCUCCGAUGGUAUUUCUUUUAGUUUUAUUUUUCGUGUUUUAAGAGGGUUUGGGUUUCUUUGUUAGGUGGUCGUAACUUGGUGUGGAUUGACUUUGAUUUUCUGUUGCUUUCUGUGUGGCUUUCUCAAAAAAGAAAAAACGGCAGCUGCAAGAUCAAGCCUGAAAAAAAGUGGGGAUAGGAGCAAUCACAAAACUGCAGCCUCGGUACCAUUUCCCUUUAAUAGCUAGCUAUCCAAUAUAUUUACACUUUCUGCACUUUCUAAUUUUCAUCAUCAUUUUGCCUUCAUGCCUAUUACUGUACUGAAACAGGAGUGUGUGAGUGUUUGCCCUCUUGGAUCUAAUUGAACUAUUACAAAUGGAUAAUUGGUGAGAUACUCUAACCAAUCAAAUUCUGAGAGAGGGAGAAUGCAUGAUGUCUACUUGCAUGCUUACAUGACGUGUGCAUAAGUAUGAAAGGCAAAUUCAAGUUCUUUGGAAUUGGGCUACAGGUAUAUGCAACAACACAUGCUACAACACUGUAAACACUGGUUAUGGAGGUAUCUUGCAUACGGUUUACACCGAAGGGAUGUAAUGUAAAAAGAUUUUUCUCCUUUAUUUCAGUGAUCUGCUAAGAUUUUCAGUAAAUGAUAGACAAUAAGUGAAGUGCUGUUAUAGCUUUGCCACAGCAUGUAUUUAAAGAUGAUUGUUUUGGAGAUUGAUAUAUUCGUAUUUAUGUUGGCAUGGAAACAAAAAUUAAAUGCGUAGUUGCUAGCUACCUGUAUACUGUAAUCCAAUUAAUUUUAGGAUUUAAAUUCCAGUUUUGCUCAUUGUUAAACGUUGGUGGUUUUCACAUUGCAUCACAUCAGAAUGUUCAAAUCUAUCGGUUCCCCCUGUUCUAGUCAGUGUAGUUGCAAUUGUUGUGGCAUUCGUUUACAGUGAUUAAAAUCUUAAAAUUAUUAGAACAUGAGUUUCAUUUAAAAACUAGAUAUAUUAAAAAGGAAUGGUUAUGUUGUACAAUAAAUAAAUGGAGCACAUACAUAAGCCUUUUAAACAUUUCUUAUAAUGGUUUUUACACUAGGAUACUGCAUAGGUAUGGGUUUUUGUCCCACGAUGUCAUACUUCGGGAUAUCCAUACGAUUCCAUACAUUCGACAACAUGACUACAAGUGUGUAUAGUGCCCCAUAACUGUGCCUGAUAAACAAAACCUAAACUGUUAUAUCAGAUAUGUUACAAUAUCUGUCAAAGGACAUUACAGUCUCCAAAUAAACCGAUGCGUGGCAGGAAUAUUAACAAUAAAGGGACAAUCUUUUCUCACGUCUUAAAUCGGUUCUGCUAUUAUGCUUUAAUAAUGUACUUUUAACAAUGAAAAUACUCACAAAUUAGGAGAAAAUAAAAUAAAAACGAUGCUUAUUUUUCACAACUAAAUUUAUACUGAAGGAAUAUUGUUUAGCAGUUUUGUCUUUGCCUCCUUAAUCUGUACCCUCUACAAUUGUAAUAUGAUAACCAACUUGAAAGCCCACAUUAGGUUAUUGUAGGUUGUCUUAUUUUACCCUGGUACAGAACUUUCUAGCUGUUUUUUUAUUUUAUCCCUUUUUGUAUUUCCUAUUUGCUGCAUGUCUUGUCCUCUCAUUAAUUUUCUAUCUGAAAUUAAUACUUUUCCCUGUUAACGUAGCUGUUUUGUACAUAGCAAGUGACAGCAUUAAACAAGUUUGGCGUCAGUCUGUUUACUAUAGGUAUAUAUACUGUUGAUAUAGACUAUUAUAUUUACGACUGUAUAAUCGAUAAACACCAGCUUUGUAAGUAUUGCAAGUCCAGAUAUAUUUGUGCACUAAACAUGUUGUACAUUAUCUGGGGCUGUUGCUCCUAUAAUGUGAUUUGUAGGUGUAAAAAUGCAUGUGCAAAUGAACCGUACAAUUCAAGUUUUGUUGACUGAGGAGAACUGAUGUUCUUCUCUUUGUGAGGGUUUUUGUGACCAUUUGGGCUCAGUUGAUCAGGUUUUUAUUGUUAGUGGUCUGAAUUUGAGAUUUGUCUUUUGUGAAAUAGGUGUUGUUAGAACCCUGUCUGAGCAACUAAAAUGAUAAAGAAAACAGUUGUUUCAAAGCUUGCUCAUGUUUAUUAGUUCAAUUAAUUCAGCCUUAAAAUGAGCUGUUCAAUCAAUAGUUUGUUGCCCAUAGCUGUGGACUGAACAGUUGAGUGAAUCAAAACCAACCUGAAUCAAUUAAGACAUGUCUUGAGGCAUAUAUUAACUAACGUUAAGGUGUAUUUAAGUCAUGUUUACAUCAUUUUGAUAUAUUUUUAGUAAUCUAUAUAAUCUUAUAAUCUAUAGUAUAGUAAUCUGAAGUAAUCUUCAGUCACUAGAGACAUUUUUAGAUAUUACGUUUUAUCAUGUAAGUACCAUAUCCUAACAAUUAGAACAUGAAGGUAGAAACAUGUACAAAAAGAGGCUACAAUCAAAUUAAAUCCAUCAGUAUUCAGUUGUUAACUCAAGCAAGCUUAAUAAUAUUAAGAAAGUUGGACAUCAGGACUAAAUUUAGACAUCUAGCCACUUCAGUUUGUAUUGGUUUUAUAGCAGGUAACACUGCUAUAUAACUAUAUUUGAAGGUGUUGGAUUAAUGUGAUGGUAACAGCUUAAUGGUUGUGAUUUUAUUGAAAAGAAAUCACAUAAAAGGCUUGCAAUUAUCUCUGGACUUACAGUAUGUUAUUUCUAAUAGUAAUAAUGCACUACAAGUAUACCAUGUAUUUUGUCAAUUGCAGUAGUUCAAUAAAUAUGCAAGGUCUUAAA